UACGGAGGGUGCAAGCGUUAUCCGGAUUUACUGGGUUUAAAGGGUGCGUAGGUGGGUCUGUAAGUCAGUGGUGAAAUCUCCGAGCUUAACUCGGAAACUGCCAUUGAUACUAUAGGUCUUGAAUUAUCUGGAGGUAAGCGGAAUAUGUCAUGUAGCGGUGAAAUGCUUAGAUAUGACAUAGAACACCAAUUGCGAAGGCAGCUUACUACGGAUUGAUUGACACUGAGGCACGAAAGCGUGGGGAUCAAACAGA
rnacentral:rRNA from 1 species